UACGAAGGGGGCUAGCGUUGUUCGGAAUUAUUGGGCGUAAAGCGCGCGCAGGUGGUUCCUUAAGUCUGAUGUGAAAGCCCACGGCUCAACCGUGGAGGGUCAUUGGAAACUGGGGAACUUGAGUGCAGAAGAGGAAAGUGGAAUUCCACGUGUAGCGGUGAAAUGCGUAGAGAUGUGGAGGAACACCAGUGGCGAAGGCGACUUUCUGGUCUGAUAACUGACACUGAGGCGCGAAAGCGUGGGGAGCGAACAGG
rnacentral:rRNA from 1 species